UUAGACGCUGGCGGCAUGCCUUUACACAUGCAAGUACGAACGGCAGCACGGGAGCAAUCCUGGUGCGAGUGGCGAACGGGUGAGUAAUAUAUCGGAACGUGCCCAGUCGUGGGGGAUAACGUAGCGAAAGCUACGCUAAAUACCGCAUACGAUCUAUGGAUGAAAGCGGGGGAUCGCAAGACCUCGCGCGAUUUGGAGCGGCCGAUAUCAGAUUAGGUAGUUGGUGAGGUAAAGGCUCACCAAGCCGACGAUCUGUAGCUGGUCUGAGAGGACGACCAGCCACACUGGGACUGAGACACGGCCCAGACUCCUACGGGAGGCAGCAGUGGGGAAUUUUGGACAAUGGGCGCAAGCCUGAUCCAGCAAUGCCGCGUGCAGGAUGAAGGCCUUCGGGUUGUAAACUGCUUUUGUACGGAACGAAACGGUGAGCUCUAAUACAGUUUGCUGAUGACGGUACCGUAAGAAUAAGCACCGGCUAACUACGUG
rnacentral:rRNA from 1 species